rnacentral:piRNA from 1 species
AGGAUUCCAUGUCCCAAACUCCAGAUUUUGUAUCCUCAACUCCAUCCAUUACCCUUUAUAACUCCAGCUUUCACAGACCAGACUUGAGAUUUUCACUUCUAAAAUUCCCCAGCACCAGGAUUCCAUGUCCCAAACUCCAGAUUUGGUAUCCUAAAAAUCUAUCCAUUACCCUAUAACUUCAGCUUUCACAGACCAGACUUAAGGUUUUCACUUCUAAAAUUCCCCAGUGCCAGGAUUCCAUGUCCCAAACUCCAGAUUUGGUAUCUUAAACUCCAUCCAUUACCCUAUAACUCCAGCUUUCACAGACCAGACUUAAGGUUUUCACUUCUAAAAUUCCCCAGUGCCAGGAUUCCAUGUCCCAAACUCCAGAUUUGGUAUCUUAAACUCCAUCCAUUACCCUAUAACUCCAGCUUUCACAGACCAGACUUAAGGUUUUCGCUUCUAAAAUUCCCCAGUGCCAGGAUUCCAUGUCCCAAACUCCAGAUUUGGUGUUCUAAACUCCAUCCAUUAUCCUUAUAACUCCAGCUUUCACAGACUUAAGAUUUUCACUUCUAAAAUUCCCCAGUGCCAGGAUUCCAUGUCCCAAAUUCCAGGUUUCACGGGCAGCGCCCCGCCAGGAAAGCCCCUAUUGAUCCUCCGCUUGUGAAUGCUCUCGUUAAUUGUUUCCUCAUUGGGAGCAGUUGAGGCCUGUCCAAUGGGAGGCUUGAUUGGCUUAAGUACCUAGUUAUAUGGUGGGACAUCCGGCCAUGCCCGCAGCCUUACGUCCGACAGUCCGACUAUAGCACGUAAGUCUCUCUUGGCUUCAACCUUAUCCUAGGCAUCUAUCAUAGGGUCAAAGGGAACUUUGGUAUUUUAAGUAUUGAGUCCGAAAACCAUUCCAUCUUCCUCAAAGCAAACUGUACAUGCAUUGGGUCAGAAGACCAUUCCAUCUUUUCCAAUUGGGGUGUUAAUUGUACAUGUAUUGGAUCCUAAGACCCUUCCAUCUUUGCCAAGGGGAGUGCUAGCUGUAUAUGCAUUGGAUACGAAUACCAUUUUAUCUUUGCCAAUCUGAGUGUUAACUGUACGUAUGUAAUUUUUAUGUACAUUACUUAUGUAAUCUAUUGGUUCCGAAGACCAUUUCAUCCUUGUAAAGGCGAGUGUUAACAGUGCAUGUAUUGGAUCCGAAGACCAUUCCAUUUUCGUCAAAGCGAGUGCUAACUGUAUAUGCAUUGGGUCCGAAGACCAUUCCAUCUUUGCCAAGCUAGUGUUAACAAUGCAUGUAUUGGGUCCGAAGACCAUUCAAUCUUUCCCAAAGUGAGUGUUAACAGUACAUGUAUUGGGUCAGAAGACCAUUCAAUCUGGUUACUGCAUAUAUAUUGGGUCCGAAGACCAUUCCAUCUUUGUCAAGGUGAAUGUUAACAGUGCAUUUAUUGGGCCCGAAGACCAUUCCAUCUUUUCCAAAGGGAGUGCUAACAGUACAUGUAUUGGGUCAUAAGAUUAUUGAAUGUUUGCCAAGGUGAGUGCUAACUGUAUUGGGUCCGAAGACCAUUCCAUCUUUGCCAAGCUAGUGUUAACAGUGCAUGUAUUGGGUCCGAAGACCAUUCCAUCUUUGCCAAGCUAGUGUGAACAGUGCAUGUAUUGGGUCCGAAGACCAUUCCAUCUUUGCCAAGCUAGUGUUAACAGUGCAUGUAUUGGGUCCGAAGACCAUUCCAUCUUUGCCAAGCUAGUGUGAACAGUGCAUGUAUUGGGUCCGAAGACCAUCCCAUUUUUGUUAAGGAGAGUGUUAACAGUGCAUGUAUUGAGUUCGAAGACCAUUCCAUCUUGGUCAAGGGGAGUGUUAACUGCAUAUGCAUUGGGUCCGAAGACCAUUCCAUCUUUGCCAAGCUAGUGUGAACAGUGCAUGUAUUGGAUCCGAAGACCAUUCCAUCUUUGCCAAGCUAGUCUGAACAAUGCAUGUAUUGGAUCCGAAGACCAUUCCAUCUUUGUCAAAGGGAGUGCUAACAGUACAUGCAUUGGAUUCGAAGACAAUUCCAUCUUUGCCAAGACGAGUGCUAACAGUACAUGUAUUGGGUCAUAAGAUUAUUGCAUCUUUGCCAAGGUGAUUGCUAACUGUAUUGGGUCCGGAGACCAUUCCAUCUUUGCCAAGAAUAUUGUUAACAGUGCAUGUAUUGGGUCCAAAGACCAUCCCAUAUUUUCCAAUCUGAGUGUUAACAGUACAUGAAUUGAGUUCGAAGACAAUUCCAUCCUUAUCAAGGACAUUUGUUAAACUUGUUCAGCGUCCUAAGACCGUUUAAACAUUGCUGAAAGCAAAAUGCUAAUAGUAUAUCACCUCUCUUUUUGAACAUAACAUACACACAAAGCUUUAUUAAGACCACCGGUCUUAUACAGAUUUGCCACAGGAAGAAAGGAAGCAUAGAUGGAUCUUCUAUACUCCAGGCAGCGCAGCAACCAUUCUCAGCAUAAAGCCCGAAGUAUAUUUUGGUAAAUUCAGGUAGCGUCUUAGAAAGAUAUUCUGAACUUGGUCAAAUACUUUUAUUUUACCCAAAAGGGUGCGGCGUAUAACAUGUGAGGCAAGAUUGUCGAAUCAAAUAAUUUCAUUGCCGCAUUUAAAGAGUUCAUCUUGGAUAUUGUAAGACCUCCCAUACGGCACCAAUUGCUGCCAGGGCUUUGCCCUUGUAAUAUGUAGAUACCCUUUUUGAACAUAACGAGAGAUAUUGUCUUCUUGAGCAAUGGAGCGAGUUCAGACAUUUCAAAUUUAAACGAUUUAAGGAAAAGCAUCUCUGUAUGCAUCUCUAUCUCUGCACCUCUGGAGUAUAGGAGCUCCAUCUAUGCUUCUUUUCUUCCCGUGGUGAAUCUGUAUAAGACCGGUGGUCUUAAUAAAGCUGUAUGUGUAUAUCUAUAUGAAAGCCUGGAGUAUAGGAGCUCCAUCUAUGCUUCAUUUCUUCCUAUGGUGAAUCUGUAUAAGACCGGUGGUCUUAAUAAAGCUUUGUGUGUGUGUUAUGUUCAAAAAGGGAGGUGAUAUACUACCUGAUGGCUGUCAGGUCCUAGAGAGAGAAUGAAGAGUUCUCGGCCAUUUCAAUUACAUCCUAUUAGAAGUCCAUUAACCGAUCUAACAAUGAUAGACCAACGUAUGAACUUGAGAGGCAUUAGUAAAAAAAUAUUUUAAAAGCAUUUUCCAAGCAAAAAAUCUCUAUUCGUUUUUAAAAAUGAAUUCAAAUAACUUCUCUCUCUCUCCUUCUACCACUAAAUUGAAAAUUUUCAGUUGAAAUAUUUUGCUACACAACUUGACAUCGCUCUGUCUCAGUUUUGAUUUUUUUUAUGAUUUUUAUAAUUUUAUGAUUAGUUAUGAUUUUUUUCUUCGAAUCUUACAUUUGCAAGACUUAAGAGUUUUCUCUUCAAAAAAUUAAUUAUUUUUUGUAUAUGAAUAUUUUUUGUAAGUGUGUACAAGAAGAUUGAAAAGGUAGGUAUAUUAUCUCCAAAGUUUACGUCACUCUCUACGAAUAUUGACGCCGCUCAGUGCUGAAAGGAUAGAAAGGUCCUCUAAGUGUCACCAUUCAGUGUUACCGCCAAUAAGGUAAGCUCCCCCAAGUCUAUCCACCCUAAGUACCACCGCCAAAGUGUCCAAGAGUCAUCGGCCAAUAAGGUAAGUUCCCCCAAGUGUCACCGUCAAGGUGUCCAAGAGCCAAGGACGAGUAUUCUGUAUUAAGUACUUAGAGCCGCAUGAGUAUCGAUGAAUUCUCCUGCUGGCUUAGGUGCUUAACAUAGAGGCUCAGUAUUCGUCGCUGGGGGAACUUCUAAACGGUAAGUUUCCAUCUGCUCAAGGGCAAGGCUCCAUAUGUUCAAGGGCAAGUCUCCAUAUGUUCAAGGGCAAGGCUCCAUAUGUUCAAGGGCAAGUCCCCAUCUUCUCAAAGGCAAGUCUCAAUCUGCUCAUGGGUAAGUUUCCAUCUGCUCAAGAGCAAGUCUCCAUAUGUUAAAGGGCAAAAAUCCAUAUGUUCAAGGGUGAAACUCCAUAUACUCAAUGGUAAGUCUCCAGUUUCUCAAGGGCAAAACUCCAUAUACUCAAUGGUAAGUCUCCAGUUUCUCAAGGGCAAGGCUCAAUAUGCUCAAGGGCAAGUCUCAACAUGCUCAAGGGCAAGUCUCCAUAUGCUCAAUGUUAAGACUCCAUCUACUCAAGGGUAAGUUUCCAUCUACUCAAAUGCAAGUCUCUAUCUGCUCAAUGGUAAGUCUCCAUAUGUUCAAGGGCAAGGCUCCAUCUACUCCAGGAUAAGUCUCCAGCUUCUCAAGGACAAGGCUUCAUAUGUUCAAAGGUAAGGCUCCAUAUAUUCAAGGGUGAAACUCCAACUUCUCAAGGGCAAGGCUCAAUAUGCUCAAUGGUAAGUCUCCAUCUAUUCAAGGGUAAAACUCCAUAUCCUGCGUGUCUGUAGCGAAUAAUUCCAUUUUUGCACAAGGCUGAGAUCUCAUCUGCAGCGGGAAAAGCUCCCUUAGUAGAAGCCAAGGCUCCAUCUACUAAUGGAAAAGCUCCAGCUGUAGCAGGUAAGGCUCCAUCCACUGAAAUUCCAUAUUAAAGGAUAACUAUUUGUGUAUGAAACAGAUAAACCUCGGAUAAGUCUUUAUCUAUUGUAGGUGUCUGGACAAGAUAUGAUAAUAUAGGCUUUCAAUUCACGAGAUUGAAGAUUCAUAUGUUUUAGACUUUUUCCGUUCUGGAUCAGACUCCUCUGUCAGGUUCGAAUAGUAUCUGUUAUGAAUAAGGGUNNNNNNNNNNNNNNNNNNNNNNNNNNNNNNNNNNNNNNNNNNNNNNNNNNNNNNNNNNNNNNNNNNNNNNNNNNNNNNNNNNNNNNNNNNNNNNNNNNNNUAAUCUUUUAGGGAUAAACAACGAAUUUUGGAGUUAAAAUUAUUACAAUCAUUCUCAUUCUCUUGCAUAGGCUUGAAUUGUUGGCGAAAAUAGCUAGGCCAUUCAAAUAUCACUUAAACAUUCAACUUCUAGCCUGUUGACCGCAUUUCUUCUGGAUUCUUCCCGAGUUGACAUUUGCAUAACGUCAUUAUUCAUUCAGUAGUUCAUUUAUUUAUUAUAUAAUACAAAUUUGAUAUUUGCGGAAGAUCGAUUGCUCGAGGCAUAUUAUAUAUUUAUAAUUAUAUACAAUUCUACUGUCCUCAAAGCUUAUGUCCAUAGUUCAUCUAAAAUACCCAUUCCAAGAGUCUUAGAAUCAGUAUCACUAUAAAAGGAAGUUACAAAAAUGCAAUAUAACAGCGGUAUGGUAGAUUAAAUUGGCGAAACAGCAGGGAGGGUUCACCACUGAUGAG